rnacentral:rRNA from 1 species
AUUGAACGCUGGCGGCGUGCUUAACACAUGCAAGUCGAUCGGUAACGCGGGGGCAACCCUGGCGACGAGAGGCGGACGGGUGAGGAACGCUUGGGAAUCUGCCCUUCAGCGGGGGACAACACGGGGAAACUCGUGCUAAUACCGCAUACGCUCCACGGAGGAAAGCCGGGGACCGCAAGGCCUGGCACUGAAGGCUGAGCCCAAGUCGGAUUAGCUAGUUGGCGGGGUAACGGCCCACCAAGGCGUCGAUCCGUAGCUGGUCUGAGAGGACGAUCAGCCACACUGGGACUGAGACACGGCCCAGACUCCUACGGGAGGCAGCAGUGGGGAAUAUUGGACAAUGGGGGAAACCCUGAUCCAGCGACGCCGCGUGGGUGAGGAAGGCCUGCGGGUUGUAAAGCCCUUUCGGUAGGGACGAAAGCUCUCGACCUAACACGUCGGGAGGUUGACUUAACCUACAAAAGAAGCACCGGCUAACUCUGUGCCAGCAGCCGCCGUAACAC